CUUAGAGGAUUUGUCAUAAGGCAUAGACUAGAUUACAGUCUUCCAAGUUCAAUUUGUUUGCACUUUAAGAUGCAAGCUGUCUCUGUGGACAGACUCACAUUAAUCAAUUUCACAGAGACUGAUAGUUAUAAACCAAUGACAUAGAUAAAGAAAUAUGUCAUUGUUCAUUUUUACAGCAAAAACUGUCAAGAGACUCAGUGUUUGGGGCUCUUCAUCAUGUUCUCUCUCUCUAGGGAAAACACAUUGAAAGAAAAGUUCUAAGAAGUUUGAAUAGAGAACAAGAAGUAAAUUAACUGAUUUAAGUAUCUCUCAGGCUUUAAUUAGAUCAGUUGCAGGUAUUUGGAAUGCAAAUGGAGUAGUUUGUAAUAAAAGAGACAAAGAUCUUUAUGUAGCACACCCUUCUGCUUCGGGAUUCUCUCCAGAUGGUUACUUAACCUUAGUUUAGAAAAAAAAAAAAAAAAAAAAAAAAAAAAAAAAGACAUUUUGUUUUGGAGAAAUGCCAUGUAGCUGUCUACUCAAGGAUCUAGUCUGAGGUAGAAAGAAGGAUGAGAUAUCGAUUUGAAAAAGGCCCCAAUCAGAGCAACAUAAAUUGUGCUAAAAUGGAGG